rnacentral:lncRNA from 1 species
AAGAGAUUGAAUGCUAGAGUUGAACACUUAGGGGCCGUUUGGUUGGAUGUAGUUGCAGAAACAGUGCAAUUGGAAAUACAUACAGUUGCAAAUGCUGCAGUUGUAACUACACCUAGUCUGUUGGUUUUACGCAGUUGCAACUGCUGCAGUUUCAUUUCUUCUGUUUGGUAAUAUGAAGCUAAUAGUUGUAUUUAUGAAUUUUGUCACCUCUUCAGAUAGAGUGGUGAGGUUACCUUCACUAAACAUAAAAUAAUUGUAUAAAUUUAUUAAUUAUUUAAAUUUACUAUUUAUAAAUAAAUAAGUAGAUAUAUAUAAUAUUUUUAUAUUUUUCAAUAAUUCUUCAACUUAUUAAUCGACACAUUUAAAAUUUUUAAUUUAUUUAAUUUUAAUAUGUAAAUCAAACUUUAAAAAUUUAAACGAUUCUCUCUUUUUUUUUAUCAAAUUUAAUAAUUAUAAUUAAUUAAAACUUAUUAAAUUAACAUACACGAUCACAUUCUAUAAAAAUUUAGAAAAAAAAACUAUAUUUAUAUUUUAAAUAAAAUAAAUUUAAAAAAAUUAAUUUUUUGCACAAAGCUUGUAUUGUCUAAAAAAUUUUAUUAGUAUGAGUUUAUUUAUAAGUAUUUUUAUUUACCUAUAUACAUAUAUUAUUUAUUUAUUUAGCUAUUUAUUUAUUUAUUUAUUAUUGUUAAUUUGUGGGUGAUCCUAUCCCUCACCAACUGCUGCAGUUGGUACUACGACCAAUUUGGAUGUAGUUCCAACUGCAGCAUUUGGGCCUUCUUGUGCAGUUGGAACUGUAGCAGUUGAACUCAACUACACUAAACCAAACAAAGGAAUUGUGGCUGCACGCAUUUCCAACUGCACUGCAGUUGCAAAUACGUACAACCAAACAGCCUCUUAGUGUGUGUGGUAUUAGUGAACGAGUACAAAGAACAAAGUAGUGUAUAUGACAUUGGUGAAAGUUAAAGAAUGCAAGUAAAGAGAGAUAGUGACAUUGUG